GUUGAAAGUUGCGUCGUCGCUGUCUCGUUUCCUUUCUUUUGUCGCCUGGCCAAGGGAUUAAAAUGCUCACGGUUAUCAGACUACCACGCAUUGGACGUAAUGGUAAACCCUGACCAAAGUACUAGCAAGAGAAGCUGUGAAGCCGCAGUGGUGAAGACUUGCUGCUGCGUCGCAGUGUCCGUUGUGGUCAUAGUUGUACUCUUUCAAAUAUACCUCAUUCUGGUGACGGCUGGCGACAGCAAAACGACGGUGGACCGUGAAGGAGCAUACGGUGUGGUUAUCUUGGACGGUGACGACGAUGAGAUUGGUUCAGACUUCGAGGACGAUACAACAUUCCCGGUGCCUGUGCAAGAAACAGCAGCGACUGAAGGCGGCGGUCAUAGAACAGCACUAUUCACGACUGAAUAUUCGACGGAUGGGAAUUCCACUGUAUCUCAGAUUAGCGCGCAAGCGUACCGUAAAUUGAACAUAACAGUC